rnacentral:lncRNA from 1 species
UGCUCACUUACGACCAUGCCACACCGAAUGGUGCUCUUUGAUCUGUACACAACUGGACAGCACUUCAAUUUGGCGAGGUCAUUUUUUUGUAGAGGUUUGUGUCAGAGUAUAAGGGAAUUUAAAAUGGCAACGCAAGUAGCGGGGAGGAAAAGAAUUCCCAACCGGGAGAAACUAUCGGCGGAGGAUGAUGCUCUCAGUCAAAUAGCUCGAGAGGCGGAGGCAAGACUGGCAGCUAAGCGGGCAGCCCGGGCAGAAGCUCGAGAAAUCCGAAUGAAGGAAUUGGAGAGGCAACAGAAAGAGAUAUCAGAUGAUGAAGAGCGGAUGUCUGUUGGCAGUCGGGGCAGU